rnacentral:lncRNA from 1 species
UCUGACAUACGAUUUGGUAUCGAUACUGUCACAAUCGGCUGUCAUCCUUCAAAAUUUCAUUUUAUAACCAAAAAAUUUCAAUCCAUAGUAAAUAACUACAUAAUUUAUAUAAUUAAAAAAUAUAUUAAAAAUGAGCAAUACCAACGGAAAUCCUCCACGCAAAAAUUAUACUGAGAGAGAGAGAGAAAUGUUUGCUGUUGGAAAUAAUUGGAAAAUACAAGCAUAUUAAAUUGAAAACAAAUAAUGUACCAAUGCUAUGUCCACCAACCAAAACAAUGAAACCUGGGAAAAAAUAGCGCUGAAUUUCCCAGAACUCCCAAGCAGCUGAACACUGCAUAUAUAAACUUAAAAAGGGUCACUAGCCAAAAAGUAGCAGAGGAAAAUAUUCAAAAAUAUAAUGAGCAGAAGGUUUUGGACCAGUUGAAGAGAGACCAAACUGCGGACAAAAAAGACAUACUUGCAACAGGUGGUGGCACAUUUAGGCCUCGUCUCACAGAUGUAGGGGCACAAAUGUUGAGUUUGAUUGGCAAUCAAAUCCAACCUUUACCCAACAGUUGUGACAGUGCAUCUGGUUUCUUCACAUCUGUUGCACAAGACAGUCAAGUGGAAGUAGAUUACCUACAAUUGGAAGACACAUAGCAGACGUCCAAUGUACCCUCUACUUCCACUGUGCUGCUCAGUACACCCACGACAACUGCUGUCCUGCCCAAGAAGACAGCCAAGAUGUCUCAGGCUCGUUCAAAAAAUAAAAAAGUAAAAGAUGUAGGGAGCGAAACCCUUAAUGUAUCUUUUACAAAAAAAAUUGAAACAGCAAGACUAGAAAAAAGAAGUAAGAUAGUAUUUUUCAACAAGAAAAAAAGAAAUUUUAGAAGUAGAGCUUCAAAUAAAAAAAUUUGAUCUCAAUAAAUUAUUCGGUAAUAGUGGUUAGGUAUGUACCUAAUAAAGUAAUUUUAAAUAAAAAUUGUAAUUUCUUUAAAUAAUAAAAUUAAUAAAAAAUG